UACGAAGGGGGCUAGCGUUGUUCGGAAUUACUGGGCGUAAAGCGCGCGUAGGCGGUCUAUCAAGUUGGAAGUGAAAGCCCAAGGCUUAACCUUGGAAUUGCUUUCAAAACUAGUAGACUAGAGAAUGGUAGAGGAUGGUGGAAUUCCUAGUGUAGAGGUGAAAUUCUUAGAUAUUAGGAGGAACAUCGGUGGCGAAAGCGGCCAUCUGGACCAUUUCUGACGCUGAGGUGCGAAAGCGUGGGGAGCAAACAGG
rnacentral:rRNA from 1 species